rnacentral:rRNA from 1 species
UGCAAGUCGAGGGGCAGCAUGAACUUAGCUUGCUAAGUUUGAUGGCGACCGGCGCACGGGUGAGUAACACGUAUCCAACCUGCCGAUGACUCGGGGAUAGCCUUUCGAAAGAAAGAUUAAUACCCGAUGGCAUAGUUCUUCCACAUGGUAGAACUAUUAAAGAAUUUCGGUCAUCGAUGGGGAUGCGUUCCAUUAGGUUGUUGGCGGGGUAACGGCCCACCAAGCCUUCGAUGGAUAGGGGUUCUGAGAGGAAGGUCCCCCACAUUGGAACUGAGACACGGUCCAAACUCCUACGGGAGGCAGCAGUGAGGAAUAUUGGUCAAUGGACGAGAGUCUGAACCAGCCAAGUAGCGUGAAGGAUGACUGCCCUAUGGGUUGUAAACUUCUUUUAUACGGGAAUAAAGUGAGGCACGUGUGCCUUUUUGUAUGUACCGUAUGAAUAAGGAUCGGCUAACUCCGUGCCAGCAGCCGCGGUAAUACGGAGGAUCCGAGCGUUAUCCGGAUUUAUUGGGUUUAAAGGGAGCGUAGGCGGACGCUUAAGUCAGUUGUGAAAGUUUGCGGCU